CCUUCGCGCGAUUUGGAGCGGCCGAUAUCAGAUUAGGUAGUUUGGUGAGGUAAAAGGGCUCACCAAGCCAACGAUCUGUAGCUGGUCUGAGAGGACGACCAGCCACACUGGAACUGAGACACGGUCCAGACUCCUACGGGAGGCAGCAGUGGGGAAUUUUGGACAAUGGACGCAAGCCUGAUCCAGCCAUGCCGCGUGAGUGAAGAAGGCCUUCGGGUUGUAAAGCUCUUUCGGCGGGGAAGAAAUUGCUUCGGUUAAUACCCGGAGUAGAUGACGGUACCCGCAUAAGAAGCACCGGCUAACUACGUG
rnacentral:rRNA from 1 species